UACGGGAGGCAGCAGUGGGGAAUAUUGCACAAUGGGCGCAAGCCUGAUGCAGCCAUGCCGCGUGUAUGAAGAAGGCCUUCGGGUUGUAAAGUACUUUCAGUCGUGAGGAAGGUGUUAAGGUUAAUAACCUUAGCAAUUGACGUUAGCGACAGAAGAAGCACCGGCUAACUCCGUGCCAGCAGUCGCGGUAAUACGGAGGGUGCGAGCGUUAAUCGGAAUUACUGGGCGUAAAGGGCACGCAGGCGGUUAAUUAAGUUGGAUGUGAAAUCCCCGGGCUUAACCUGGGAAUGGCAUUCAAGACUGGUUAGCUAGAGUCUUGUAGAGGGGGUAGAAUUCCAUGUGUAGCGGUGAAAUGCGUAGAGAUGUGGAGGAAUACCGGUGGCGAAGGCGGCCCCUGGACAAAGGCUGACGCUCAUGUGCGAAAGCGUGGGGAGCAAACAGGGAUUAGAUACC
rnacentral:rRNA from 1 species